AGCUACAGAAGAAGGACGUUUACGCAAUGACAGGGAAACAUCAGGACGUUAUCCUUGUUUAGCAUCCCAUGGGGCGAAUAUUACCGCAGCUACAGAAGAAGGACAUUUACGCAAUGACAGGGAAACAUCAGGACUUUAUCCUUGUUUAGCAUCUCAUGGGGCGAAUAUUACCGUGACAACUGAAGAAGGACCUUUACGCAAUGGCAAGAAAACAUCAGGACUUUAUUCUCGUUUAGCAUCCCAUAU